rnacentral:lncRNA from 1 species
UUUCCAGAAAUAUAUAUAUAUGAUUUUAGAGAAUUUGUACACCAAAUUUUCCCUAUUUACACUUCAUACCCUAUAUCCCUCUAAUUUUCUCCUCCCCCCAUCAUUACUAUUUUUCCCCUAUUCUAUGGUAUUCCACCUUUUUUUGUAUAUUAAGCUAAUUUGCUCAUGAUUUUAUGCAGGAUAAACACUAUAUCACAAACACACUCGUUUGCAACCACAUAAUCCUUUGUGUUUGCCUUAUUUUUUUUGUUGUUCACUAUUUUACUUAUGCGUUGAAUAUUGUGUAGGUAUUCUCGCUGUAUUCUUGGAGACCUUGAUAUUAUCUUCCUUGGUGCAUGUCCAUUUACUCCCGCAGCAGGCCCUACCUUGAACACAUGCCCAAGAUACAUUGGUAUGGGGCGGCAUAGAAUUUAUAUAGUUUUUAGGUUUAUUUUUUUUGUUAUUAGCACAAGAAAGGAAAAUUGAGUUUUACUUAGGGCAUCUUUAUUGGUGGGAUGAAGAGAGAGAGGGAGAGAGUCCAUUGUUUUGCUUUUUUUUUUUUUUUUUUUUUUUUUGUUUUUAAAAAGAAUUUUUUUUUUUUUUUUUUUUUGGUCAUUAGAGAUUAAGGGACAGCCCUUAAUUAAGGGCUUUUUCCUUCUCUUUCUUCCUCGGUUCCCACCCCCCUUCCCCUAAGGGAUGCCUUAAGGGACCUCCAAUACAAAUGCCCUUAAACCUAUUUCAAACAAAUAACAUAAUAAAUGCUUGAGUAUUUUUUUUCUUUCUUUUACACAAAAUGAUAUAGAAAGAUAGUUUCAGAAUUGAUACUUUUAAAAGUUUUAGGGAUAUUGUAAAUUUCUAAUUGUAAACUUCAAUUUCAAUAAAAAAAAUUUGAAAAAAAUAUCACUUAGACCAUCCCCAAUGUAUUUUAUUACUUUAACCUCUGGUAUAGAAUAACUUUAUAACAGAGGUGAGAUAUACUCCAAUUUAUUUUUCUAAAAUAUCAAUUUCUAAAUACAGAAUAAAAAAUAGAAGAAUAUUAUUUCUUUUUCUAUAAAUUGAAAAAAAUAACAAUAUUUAUUACAAAAGGAAGAAAUAUAAAUGUGUUGGAGCAAUUUUACUUCUUGAUAUUAUUAUAGAGUUGAAAAUAACAAUGAAUUAGAAAUGUUUUGAGAACCUAUAUUUUUAGUUUUGUAUUCAACCUGAAAAUUUUCAAGACUGGCACUAUCCAGUAGGUGACUUUGAGUCUUUGACCACUCAAGAAAAUAUAUCGAUAAUGAGAUAGAUAAAAAAUCUGCACGUAAAAGUAUGUUCUCUGAUAAAAUCCUUAAGAGUUAUGGUAAUUUCCUUUUGAAAACCAAAUAAUUAUUCCAAAGUUAGAGAGGCAUUAAUGAAGGUUGGUCACCGGCAUGUUACGACGGUUCUUCGGUGUCAUGUGGGCAUAAAUUUGUUCACUUCGAUCAAUAAAGGAUUCAAACCCAAACCUAAAUAGAGAUCGUAGUCGUAACUUGCGUGUGGACUUUUCAGACAGAGAAAUUUAAAACGAACAACUAACUCAUUUAUACCUUUUUUUUUUUUUUCCCAACUGAAUUAUAUUAGCAAAAAGGCCGAAGCCCAAAGAGAGUUACAAAGACCAAAAGACCCAAACACAAAGCCCAACUUAAAAGAACAAACCCGCUUAGGCCCAAGCUCGAUAUCCUCAAACCCAAACACGCCGACUCGCGGUUCGCCCUACCUCGAGAAGCAAACCCGCAAACGUCGCCGCCACCAGUAGCACUUACGUCGGAGAACGGACGCUUCUCACCGGCCACUACAAGAGCAUGCCUCACCGUGACAAACCGGAUCCCAUGACCUACACACACUCUUCACCACCGCCGUCUUGUACUCUAGAGAAAUCUUUACCGGCGAGAUCAAUCGCCGGAGCGAGAUCAUCACCACCACCGUUCGAGCACAAACCAGAGUAACAACCACGGCUCACAGAAACAUCACCAACUUGAUACGGACGCUUCUCUCUUCCUCCAACGAGAGAACACACACGGGUCUAAACCAUCACCAACGCCAUAAACAACCACAAAGGCCCUAAAAAAAAACUAAUCUAAAAAUUAAGCAAACAGGAGCCGACGAGGCAAGGUACAAGACGCCUUCACCCCUCGGUACAUGAUCCGGCGACGCAGAGCUGAGAUAGCCUCUACCUCCCGGAGACUUUGCCGGCGACGCAGAGCUGAAGAAGCCUCCACCCCCCGGAAACUUGAACGGCGACGGCGGAACUAACGGAGCCUCCGCCUCCCGGAAUGAACCCUAACUUCAACCCAAAAAACUAACAAGCUGUCGCGACGAGCCGCGUCCUACUACCUCACCACGAAUCCAGAGAAAGAGAGAUUACCGCCGUUUGAAACCCUCCGUAGACAAAUCUCUUCCGACGAUAAAACCCUAUUCCAGAUCCGAAAAUAUAUCGGAUAGGACAGCAGAUCGACGCGCACAGAGGAAAACCUAGCAAGGAUCGACAAGAAGGGAGCCACCGGCGCCGGCACGCGCGCAUACGCGCCGCCGUACGUCGGUGCUUCCCUCCCACGCGUUUUCUCUCUUUUCUCUCUCUCAGAAUACACCCUGGCAAAACUUAACUCAUUUAUACCUUACCAACACGUUCGUUUUGAUUAUUAGUUUUCGACUUAUUUUAUUAUCAAUGGUUGGAGAAUGGGUGUACAUCGAUGUAUUUAAUGUUAUUGAUUCUAGAUCAUACAAAUAAUUUAGUAGAAGUUCUCACUCCAACAAAAGUAGAGUAACACCACUCCUUUCCCUUUCUGAGAGAUGAAUGUUUUGGUUUUUCACACAUUUAAAAAACACAUUAAUUAUGUAUUGUUUUUUGAAAUUAUCAAAUUUCAAUGCUUUUUGACUAAUAUUCCCUCCGUUUCGAUUUAAUUAUCGUUGUAGGGAAACAGAAACAUCACCAACUUGAUACGGACGCUUCUCUCUUCCUCCAACGAGAGAACACACACGGGUCUCAACCAUCACCAACGCCAUAAACAACCACAAAGGCCCUAAAAAAAAACUAAUCUAAAAAUUAAGCAAACAGGAGCCGACGAGGCAAGGUACAAGACGCCUUCACCCCUCGGUACAUGAUCCGGCGACGCAGAGCUGAGAUAGCCUCUACCUCCCGGAGACUUUGCCGGCGACGCAGAGCUGAAGAAGCCUCCACCCCCCGGAAACUUGAACGGCGACGGCGGAACUAACGGAGCCUCCGCCUCCCGGAAUGAACCCUAACUUCAACCCAAAAAACUAACAAGCUGUCGCGACGAGCCGCGUCCUACUACCUCACCACGAAUCCAGAGAAAGAGAGAUUACCGCCGUUUGAAACCCUCCGUAGACAAAUCUCUUCCGGCGAUAAAACCUUAUUCCAGAUCCGAAAAUAUAUCGGAUAGGACAGCAGAUCGACGCGCACAGAGGGAAACCUAGCAAGGAUCGACAAAAAGGGAGCCACCGGCGCCGGCACGCGCGCAUACGCGCCGCCGGACGUCGGUGCUUCCCUCCCACGCGUUUUCUCUCUUUUCUCUCUCUCAGAAUACACCCUGGCAAAACUUAACUCAUUUAUACCUUACCAACACGUUCGUUUUGAUUAUUAGUUUUCGACUUAUUUUAUUAUCAAUGGUUGGAGAAUGGGUGUACAUCGAUGUAUUUAAUGUUAUUGAUUCUAGAUCAUACAAAUAAUUUAGUAGAAGUUCUCACUCCAACAAAAGUAGAGUAACACCACUCCUUUCCCUUUCUGAGAGAUGAAUGUUUUGGUUUUUCACACAUUUAAAAAACACAUUAAUUAUGUAUUGUUUUUUGAAAUUAUCAAAUUUCAAUGCUUUUUGACUAAUAUUCCCUCCGUUUCGAUUUAAUUAUCGUUGUAGGGAAAAAAAUUCGUUUCAAAAUAAGUGUCGUUUUAGAGUUUCAAUGCAAAAUUUAUUAAUAUGAUUCUCUAAUUUAUGUUUCUAUUGGUUGAAAUAUGAUUAGGUGUAUAUGUAAUUGUGUUUUUGUUUUGGAAAUAUACAAAAUCAUAUGUUUUCUUAAUCUGUGUGCAUAAACCUAGAACGACAAUUAAAAUGAAACGGAGAGAGUAGUCUUUUAAUAAAUCUAAUUACUUUUAUUGAAAUUUGUAAAUUUUGUAUUGAAAACAUAAAAAAUCUUUCUGAAACAAUUUUUUUUCUCUAAAACUUCAAUUUUAUUGAAACGGAGGGAGUAUCAGUUAGUGAUACAUAUAACGUACAUGAAAAAGGCAACAUCAUGCGUAGCAAGAGUUUUUAUCCUCUUUUUUUUUUUCAUUUCAUUUUGAUUCUUCGUUCCACCCUUUCUGUUUGAGUUCUUAGUUAUUUUCAAAUAGUCGGUUUUGAGUUUUCAAUUAGACUAGAGAUCUAGUUUUUCUCGAGUUUUCAAGAAUUAAGUUUUCAAUCCGUUAGAGAUUAAAAAGUUCAAGCCUUUUUUUCAAAAAUUGAAUUUUCAAAUAUUUUCAAAUCAUCAGGUUUUCAAUCAGUCAUAUUAAAAUACAGAGAUCUAAAAUUUCAAAAUUUUCUUGAGUUUUUAAGAUCCAUGGCUUUUUCUUUUUGUUUUUGAUCAUUCUUAACAAAAUUAUUCAUUUAUGGAUCGCAGCCCAGCCCAAUCUUUCAAUUCGAAAAUCCAUCGGAUUAGAAAACAAUACAAUAACAAUCAGAACUAUGCGCUGACUUUUCUCAGCCACUUAACCUACACGAACCGAUAACAGAUAACGAAGACAAGAACGCCGUAUUGACGAGAACUGGAGCCCAUUGGCUCACUGUGGAUGAGCUGGAUAUCAUCUUUGACCACCAGCACCUGUUCGAUGUCAUCAACGUCGUUGUGAUACCGCCAGGCCGUCAAGGAUUUUAUAGAAUCUAUAACCCCUAUCUAGUUGACAGCAACAUAUUACGCCGGUGCGUAUACCGCCAGGGUGGAGCGACUGAUCUUGUCUUCACCUCGUUCGUGCAAUAUCUGUAUUUUCCGGCAGUAUAUGUUUUUAACUGAAUUUGUCACAUUUUAUGGUGAUAAGAAGAGUCGAUAAAUUUUAUGGUGAUAAAUUUUACUUGCG